AUGGGAAAGGAUAUUAAACUCUAUGGACUUCCGGAUCUGGUUGACACAGAUGGUUCUUCUAACUUUGACAAUACAGAGGUAAUAGAGGAGAGACAUGUCAAAGUGGACCAAGAACAUCUAGAUCUAUUCAGCUAUUUGAACAAUGAGCAACUAGCUGGUUUCAAUAACAUAAUGGAUCAUGUGACAAACCAAAAAAUCCAGUCUAGGUUCAAAAUUCCAAUCAAGCUCACUGACAACAACAUGUGUAGCUUCACAAAGCAUAGUGGUACGGCAGAGUUGCCUAAACAGACGCCCUUGAUAAUUUGGGAUGAAGUUGCUAUGACAAAGCGUCAAGCAGUCGAGACACUUGAUAGAUCGCUGCAAGAUAUAAUGGAAUGUUCUUUACCAUUUGGUGGAAAGGUUGUCAUCUUUGGUGGUGAUUUCAGGCAGGUCCUCCCCGUUGUGACCCGAGGGACAAGAGCACAGAUCAAUGAUGCUACACUGUUGAGAUCCUAUCUGUGGCAGAAGAUCCGCAAGAUACACCUCACACACAAUAUGCGGGCACAGACAGACCCUUGGUUCUCGGAAUACCUCCUACGGAUCGGCAAUGGGACGGAAGAAACAAUUGGCGACAACUAUGUGCAUCUCCCUGAAGACAUUGUGAUUUCUUAUACCGACGAUGAUGAACCUAUUAACAAGCUUAUCAAAGAUGUCUUCCCAUCCCUGCACACCAAUGCUAGGUCGAGAGAGUGCAUGAGCACACGCGCAAUUCUCUCGACCAAAAACGAGCAUGUGGAUGACCUGAAUGACAAGAUGAUCUCCAGGUUUCCAGGCGAAGAAAAGGUGUACCAUAGCUUUGACUAUAUCGAGGAUGACUUCUAG
rnacentral:rRNA from 1 species